CCAGAUAGGACACCUGGAUCAAAUGACUACUAGACCCUUUGGAUGAGUUUCUGUGUACUCAUCUCAUUGCUGGUAUCUAGGCAUCGACCUAGUGCACUUUGCCCCGUGUUUGCGCCAUAUGGCCGCUUUUGAAAGGCCUCCCACUGUAGCUGUAAAUAUACACGGAACGACGGAGGAUCAUUCGGCAGACGUGUACAUCCUUGUGCUUUGAGCUGCUUGACUGCCACGUCCUGGUUCACAGGCUGCAGGUUAGGAUGUUCUGUCCAGGAAAUAUGAAGAGGAACGUGUUGUAAUGGCACUAAGUGGGAACAACACCGCGUUGACGAACACCACGUCGACGAACACCACGUCGACGAACACCACGUCGAUGACCACCAUGUCGACGGACACCACGUCGACGACCAGCAGGUCGAUGACCACCAUGUCGACGGACACCACGUCGACGACCACCAUGUCGACGGACA
ensembl:lncRNA